UGGCGAUUUCAGUGCUUGCACUGGCAACAGUGUGUUGGCAAAUGGGACAUAUGUCACUCGUGCACUGGUGUCAUGAUGAUACAAAAUUAAUUUCGUUUUCACAUUAAUAAUCAAUCGUUCAAGAAUUAGUUAAUCACUGUUCAUAAUUUCAAUUAAGUGUAGUUUAAAUAAAGUACAUUGUGUUGGUGUCGAUACAAACCGAUUAUUGCUGAUCCUGAACCAUACAUAUCCAAGAAUCCGCAAGGAAAUGUCGUGUUGACCACCCCAUCGCGACAAGUUCAUGGACAAUCAAAGGUUAUAAACUGUGGUUAUUUCGCGUAAUUUUUAAAUGAAACUGGAAUGGAAUGAGUCGGAAAAGGGCGUCAGUAGGAAUAACAAGAGGAGUUCGAAAAAAGUCGAACUUCGCUCUUUAAGUCUGAAAGCUGCGCAUUCUGGAGGUGCAAAUAAGCAUGGAUUGGGGUAAAGUUUUCUUUAGUUGGAGCUAAGGUUUGUCGGUUUUUAAAAACCGGGUUUUUGGAGAAAAUUAUGAAAUUGGAAAGUCGGUUUUUAAGUAGAAAAUAUCGGUUUUCAAUGUGUGAAUAACACUUUAAAAAAUUUGAAAAUGACAAAAGUAGCCAAAUGUACCAGAAUGAUAAAAACACACUGUUGCAAGCUGUUUGGUUCUUGGAAUCGUAUCAGUCCGAUAUAAUUUCAAGAAACGGUGUGUUUUGUCUAUUGGAUGAAUUAAUUUAGAUUUUAUAUCAGUUUCUCUUCUGGUUUCUUUAUGUACAGUUCAUAAAUUCAGUGUUCAGUGUCAUUGAUCGAUAUUUGAUAUAGAUGAUAUUAUACAAAAUUCCUAAAUGUCAGACAUGUGGAAUUAUUUCAAAAAAGAAGAAAAAGAAAAAUCCCGUUGUAUUUAUUGCAAUAAAAUGCUUACUUGCAAAGCACAAGCAGUCUACAUCAUAAUUUGAAAACAGUGCACGAUAAAAUAACCGAGAAAAAAUAAUCUGAUGCCGGCCCGAGUUUACAAACAGGUACACUACAUUCUUAACUUUGUGAAAAGGACUAGUUUAGAGGAAAUUGUAUCAAAGCUUGCUGCGUUGGAUGGACUAUCUAUUAAUUGCAUAACAAAUAGCUCGUUCAUACGAGAGUCAUUGCGACACCGAAAUUAUUCCUUACCACAAAGUAAUUCUAGAGUUAUCAAUCUUAUU
rnacentral:lncRNA from 1 species